CUCUUUAAUUAUAUUGAAAGGAAAAUUGUAUUCGGAAAACGGGAAAUGUACAGCGAAAGCUCACUCCAAAUACAACGAUACGAUCUCAACCCUUUACAGUACUAGUGAAUUACAAUGUCGAAGCCCUCUCUCUAUAUAUAAGCGGCUGCUUGAUGCUGCAGAUAUAUACUUAAAAAGGCCGAUCCCGUCGUCAAGAUUUGUAGUCAUAGACUCACUCAUCGAAGUGGUUUCAUCUUUACUGGUCUGCCCAGAAAAGCUCAAUAUAUAUAGUUUGAUCAAAGAGGCUCGAUGCAGAGCUCGAUCGACUAGUUCCGAGUUGCUGAGGUUGUUUUCUUGACCUUGAUUGUGAAUUGUUCGCCGGCAGCUUGAUCCUUUUCUCUAUCCAAGGCAAUUUCUAUUACGUCGCCGACCUUGAGAUGCUUUGAGCGAACAAAUACAAACCAAUCCCCAGAAAGGGCUGGUUUCGAACCCCCUCCUGGGGGGACUCUACAACGAAAUGUCCAAACUUGGCCAUCCUCGUCUUUAAACUUCAAAUAAGCUUCAUGGCCUCUCGGGAAAUCUUUUAUACAAAUAUGCUUAAACA